rnacentral:rRNA from 1 species
CGCAUCUGUGCAUGCAGCAUAUCAAUAAGCGGAGGAAAAGUAAGUGCUGUAUACCUACGCUUAGGAUGUUGAAGAUGUAGCACAUCAUACACGCAUGACACACUGCAUAUCAAUAAGCGGAGGAAAAGUACCUACGCUUAGGAUGUUGAAGAUGUAGCACAUCAUACACGCAUGACACACUGCAUAUCAAUAAGCGGAGGAAAAGAGGGCUAUUACCUACGCUUAGGAUGUUGAAGAUGUAGCACAUCAUACACGCAUGACACACUGCAUAUUAAUAAGCGGAGGAAAAGAAACUAACAAGGAUUCCCCUAGUAACGGCGAGUGAAGCGGGAAGAGCUCAAAUUUGAAAUCUUAAAGGGUUUCCCUUUACGAAUUGUAGUUUAAAGAAGUGUUUUCUGUUGAGGUUUUGGUAAAAGUUCUUUGGAAUAGGACAUCAUAGAGGGUGAGAAUCCCGUAUUUGACCUUUACUUUUCAACUUUGUGAUACACUUUCAAAGAGUCGGAUUGUUUGGGAAUGCAGUCCAAAAUGGGUGGUAAAUUUCAUCUAAAGCUAAAUAUUGGCGAGAGACCGAUAGCGAACAAGUACCGUGAGGGAAAGAUGAAAAGAACUUUGAAAGGAGAGUUAAACAGUACGUGAAAUUGUCAAAAGGGUAGCGUUUGACACCAGUGUUGUUUUUCUGAAAAUCAAUUAAAGAACUGUUUAUGCUAAGUUGUUUAGACUUUAUCAGCUAUCUGCUUAGUUUUGAGCUUUUCUUUAAUGCACUUUUCAGUUAACAAGUCAACAUCAAUUUCUUUUGCUGUAAAAAAGCUUGAGGAAGGUGGCUUGAGAUUCGUCUUAAGUGUUUAUAGCCUCUUGCCUAUGCAGUCGGAGAGAUUGAGGUCUGCAGCGUAGAUCCUUCGGGGCUAAAUGCAUUUGUGCUAAGUUAUAGCAUUUUAUAGACAACUUGUUGACUAUGAUUUGUCUUGUAGCUUACUCGCUUAUGUUAUUUUACCUACGCUUAGGAUGUUGAAGAUGUAGCACAUCA